rnacentral:rRNA from 1 species
GUGCAGCAGGCGCGAAAACUUCACAAUGUGCGAAAGCACGAUGAGGGAAUCCCAAGUGCUUGCACGUAAGUGUAAGCUGUUUCUCUGUCUAAAACGCAGAGAGAGUAAGGGCUGGGUAAGACGGGUGCCAGCCGCCGCGGUAAUACCUGCAGCUCGAGUGGUGACCGUUAUUAUUGGGCCUAAAACGUCCGUAGCCGGUUUAAUAAAUGCCUGGGUAAAUCGGACCGCUUAACGGUUCGAAUUCCGGGUAGACUGUUAAACUUGAGACCGGGAGAAGUUAGAGGUACUCCCGGGGUAGAGGUGAAAUUCUGUAAUCCUAGGGGGACCACCAGUGGCGAAGGCGUCUAACUAGAACGGGUCUGACGGUGAGGGACGAAGCCCUGGGGCGCAAAACGGGGAUUAGAUACCCGGGUAGU